CUGCUCCUAGGAGGCUUUUUGAAGGGAAUGGAAAAGGGCGCAAGCAAGCAGCACACCACAGACUGAUAAUAGAACAGGGAGAGAGAAAGAGAGAGGGAGAGCGAGGAAGAGAGAGAGUUAUAGAUAGAGGAAGAGGAAGAGAUUGACUAGAGAGGUGAGAAUCUGAAUACCUGAGGAUGUUUAUUAUGUGCCUACUACAUACUACAAAGCUGCUGGUAUGAAAACAUAUAGUACAUAAAAAUACACUGCUUAUUUUAUCAUUGCAUGCUGAUUUUUAUACAAAUAAAUCAAUUUAAAUGUUAUAUUUAUAUACUCCGUAGAUCUAUUUUGGUGUGCAUGUGUAGGCUACACGAAGCAGCCCACCACCACUUGCAGGAUGAAAAGAUCAGAAUGAUCAAAGAAGAGAGACGGUGACAAGGAAACCUUGAGGAGACGCAUGAGAGUGAAGCAAUAGCUUAUGACUACUGUGAAGUUCAUCACCAUACUACCAACCGCAUGUUAGCGCCAGAUAACAAUCAAUGGUAUCCUCCUCACGCAUGAGGUUAUAUCUGUCUCUGGCUCAAUCAGAAAGCUGUGCCAAUCAUGUGUCGACUGUCAAAAUGUACAGUAUCUAGGCCUUUAUGAUGGAAAACAUGGCUUUUGGAGCAGUCUGACUUAACGUUGAGGAUAAUGUUGGAAUUUUAAAAUCUCUCUCAUUCCAUUGCACCAUGUCUAGCCUACCUGGUUGAACUCAACCAGAGUUUAAAGACGGGAGCUCAGUGCUUUAAUAGAAUAAGUUCCAACCGUAUUAUGGUCUGAAUAUUCUAAACAAAAUGUUUCCAAACCUCAAUAGAAAUUCAGAAAAAGCAUAAUCAAAGCACCACCAGAGUUUAAAGCACAUGACAACUAUCCUACACAAAGAGAAGGCUUCAGUCAUGCUUAUGAAACAAACUGACUUUAGCCUAGCUUCUGAGGCAGAUUCUGCUACAUAGGGAUGCUGAAGCGUAGAAUUAGCCUACAUAUAGAAUAUUAUCAGAGAUUUGAGUGACAGGCACAACAUAACACAAAUAUGAUAGAAUGGCUGAAUAUACAUAUUUUUAGAAAUUAAGUAACAAUCCUGCUUUUCUAAGGUCAGCAAAUGAGUAGGCUAAUUACUAUUCAAUAAUACAUUUAGCUACUGUCCAUGUUUUUUGCAUCUGUGGGUGAUUUCUCCCGAAACUAGAACAAAACGAGACCAUGUUUGGUGGGAUUUUCAAGAAAUGUAAUCCAUAGAAGGGUCCUUUGGGAGAAGGUUGGUUGAAAUAAAUGACAUUUAUAUCUGAAAGCCUAAUUGAGAAAUAAUUCAUUCAAGUGUGAAUAUUUGUGACAUUUUGGUCUUACCCAGGCCUCCUUUAAGACUCCAUAAUGUUUCAUCUGCAUGGUGUUAUAUAAAGCUUUACCGCUUGCUUUGUAAAAUUAGU
rnacentral:lncRNA from 13 species